UGCAGUAUAGUUUAAUGGUAAAACACCCCCUCGGAGAAGAAAUCAAUGGUUUCUUGUCCAAGGGGCGACUGAGGUUCGAUUCCUCAUACUGCUC
rnacentral:tRNA from 1 species